rnacentral:lncRNA from 1 species
UCGAACUGGAGAAGCUAGUGAACCUAAGCCUAAGUCUGUUGAUAAAGGACGGGAUUAAAACAACAAAUGAGGGGAUUGGAACCUAGUAACAACUAGAAAAUCCUCUGCAUAGAAGCAGUCAUCAUCAAAACAACAGAACAAAAAUGGCCGACGAAUUGAAUUGAAUGUUGGUUCCAACUCUAAUGCCUUCGAUGCUCUUGCUAAUGCUGGGGAACAUGAAGUUGAUGCAACAGUUUCAGAGGAUAAGGAGAAGUUUAAUCAGCUGGUAACAAUGCACAACAAAGAUCGAGAUGGGGUAGGCAAUCCAGAAUCGGCUGAAAAUUUGCGUGUUCGACAAAGCAACUCAAUGAAUAAUUUGGGACUGAACUAACGAACAACCAAGCUCAUAUUUCCAAUCUACCAACAUUGUACUAUUCAAACCCUCAAGUUGAACAAAUCAUUAAAAACACUCAAAAAGAAAUGAUGCAGCCCACUUUGACUAAACAUCCAUUGGUCACCUUAAAUACUUCUGUAUUUGAUGUGCUAUCAAAUUCAGUUAAGUCCUAUGGUGAGUUUGAAGGAGAAUCUGGACUCCAUUGGUCACCUUAAAUACUUCUAUAUUUGAUGUGCUAUCAAAUUCAGUUAAGUCAUAUGGUGAGUUUGAAGGAGAAUCUGGACAACAAAUUGUCUCAACUGGGAAUAACAACGACUUGAUCCAAGCAAAGGUUACGGAGAUGGUCAUUAAUUCGAAACUGUGAAAAGACCAACAAGAGUAUGAUGAUGAAG